CAUCUAAAUUCUUACUAGAGAUGGAUACUUCCUCUCUGGAGAUAGGAGUGGGAGGCUUCAAGGGCCCACCACCAUCACUGGUAGUGACCUUCUUGGGAGGGGGGACUAAUUAAUUCAACAACUUCUGAGAUCUUUCUUUUGGAGUUUCUUGCCGUUUCUAGGAUGCUCUGCAUCCUGUCUCCAGUUUUAUUAAGCUUUUUGAACUUUUCCAAUAUAAUCUGCUAAGCAUUCAACUUCCUGAGAGUGGAAGGAGGGGGCAUUAUGAAGCAAACUCUCUUCAGUUUAGGGCAGAGUUCAUAGGGGGUGAAGAGAUAGCAUAGUAUUUGCUCACUUUCCUAAUUUCAUAAUAGAGAGCCUCAAGUUUGUCCAUCAAUGAGGGAGUAGGGGAGGAAUCAUUCGAAUCCUUGGAAGGGUCUGGGCAGGAUUCACCAGUAGGAGAGGUCGGGAUCAAAGUGGGAUCACAAUCAGCGGGGAUCAGUGGGUUAGGGUUAGAUUGAUCAUUUAGAUUAACAAUUUUUGGGGGUUUCUUUUUAGAAAUAGGGCAAUUUCUUUUCAAAGUGGCCUUUUCUCUUCCAGAUAAAACAUGAGUUCAAUCCUCUCAUGUACUCGAUAGGGCAUGUUAAAAUUUCAUCUUGAAGCUCAAUUUUAGUGUCAUCUAGCAAUUCUUUGCCAGGCUCAAAGGCAAUCAACAUUCUUGCGUUCAUAUGAAGGAGGAGCGAUGUCGUGGCAUCCAUUUGCAACACAUUACCAAGAGGUUCAACACAUUUCCUUCGAUUUUACUGUAUUGUAAUUUAACUUGUAUUGUAAUUGUGAGAUAUAUGGAUGUUUCCUUCGAUUUUCUUCCUUAGAGAAUGAUAGUUUCUAUAUUUGCCCGACAGAGGUGUUGCCAUUACUUUCCUUCCAAAAAAGGUUUGUGAAUGCCUUUUUAUGGGUGAAGUGUUUUGUCUUUGGCAGAAAGAGACAAUUAAUAGAGACAGACGAAUUGAACAUUAGGGGCCAGUGGUGCAGAUAUCGCUGCCAUGCAACAAGAGAAAAAAGAUGGAGUCGUCUACUUGUAGGGUUUACAGGGAGGAGGUCUGGCCCAACAGCGCCAUCGUUUUACUUCUACUGAAAUUCAAAGAUGUAUGUUACGAUUAGCAUUGAGCGUGUUGCUGGGAGGGAAUGGUUUAAAUCUCACACAUUGCUUAUACUUUUAGGUUUAAAAGUGUUGAAUGCUCAGAGUUAAGUGACAUUUUUUAGGCUUAAUAUGUUGUGUAAGGUGUGUGGUCACACUAAGAAUACACUUCUAGACUUAAAGAUGUUAAACACUCAUAAUUAGACUAACAUUAUUUAGACUUAA